rnacentral:ncRNA from 2 species
CGUUUAUCAAGAAAGACUUAGGGAUAAGGCCCUAUCAUAGUCUUAGCAACCCGCAUUGAGCUAAUAAACCGGCAAAAAAUGCGAAGGUGCUAAUUCCUUCUUCAACACUGGUUGAAGGCAGAUAAACA